GACAGGAUUUUUUCGAGUUAACGCAUGUGUUUUCAACGAGACAGACUACAAGCUCCAAGCGUCACUUGGAGAAUCUUCAGACUACACGUUCGAAAGAUGCUUUGUACAGCAUUUAUACUUAAUUUAUACUUUGAGCGGUCUUUCAGAAUAGAAGUAUAUUAUUACGAUUCGGCGACGCUGAUGGAAAUGCACAUUCGCUGUUUUUAUAUCAAAAGUGGGGAUAAAGGCAGACAUGAAAAAUACAGGAUGAUACAAUAACAAUGCCAUCAACGUGUCUUUGCGUUAAGCUAUUGCUGUACGCGACGUCGAAUUCAGCUUCGUUCGACACAUUACGAGACAAUUUAAUGACGAUUGCCCGGAGAGAACGAGUGCGAUUAGUGAUGAAGAAGAGAAAAAUGGCCCCGAUUAGAUGUUACAUUCGUCCAAAAGAUAACGUUUCAUAUUUCUAAAGUGUUUGAUAUUGUUAAUCAUACUUAUGAUACUAAAAGAAUGAGUAACGUGAAAGAAUAUAAUGUGUUAUUUUAUGUGCGAUUAUAUGAUUAUACGAACUAAAUCAACGAAAAAAACAUAUAAAUUCUAUUAUUAUAUCUCGAAGGAAAUGCAAUAUAAAGAAAAUAUAUUUUUAACAUUUUGUUAAAUAAUAUUGUUGUAAAAGAUCGGAUACUUUAUCCGCUUAGUGAAAAUAAAGAUAAUAAUAAAUUUUCUGUAUAAGAGAGAA